rnacentral:misc_RNA from 1 species
UACGGAGGGUGCAAGCGUUAAUCGGAAUUACUGGGCGUAAAGCGCACGCAGGCGGUCUGUCAAGUCGGAUGUGAAAUCCCCGGGCUCAACCUGGGAACUGCAUCCGAAACUGGCAGGCUAGAGUCUUGUAGAGGGGGGUAGAAUUCCAGGUGUAGCGGUGAAAUGCGUAGAUAUCGGAAGGAACACCAGUGGCGAAGGCGGCUCUCUGGAUCCUAACUGACGCUCAUGAGCGAAAGCGUGGGGAGCAAACAGG